rnacentral:rRNA from 1 species
AUAUGGUCAAGCAAAUAAGGGCAUACGGUGGAUGCCUUGGCACUAGAAGGCGAUGAAGGUCGUGGCAAGCUGCGAAAAGCUUCGGGUAGGAGCAAGCAUCCUUUGAUCCGGAGAUUACCGAAUCGGAAAACCGACUAUGGGCGAACCCAUAGUGUACGUCACUGAAUACAUAGGUGGCGUAAGCAAGACCGGGGGAACUGAAACAUCUAAGUACCCCGAGGAAAAGACAUCAAAUGAGAUUCCCUAAGUAGUGGCGAGCGAAAGGGGAAGAGCCUAAACCGGACUUUACGUUACAGGCCAAAACCGCUGUAAGACCGGGGUUGUAGGAUAUAGAUUGGGGGUUUUUUGGGGCCCCCGGGAAGUUACAAAGCUUCAUGUUAGCUGAACCCGCUGAAAAGAGGACCACAGAGCGUGAUAGUCGCGUAAGCAAAAGCAUAGAAGCCUUCCUUUUUAUAUUCCUGAGUAGGGCGGGGCACGUGAAACCCUGUUUGAAUCUGGGAGGACCAUCUUCCAAGGCUAAAUACUAACUAGUGACCGAUAGUGAACAAGUACCGUGAGGGAAAGGUGAAAAGAACCCCGAGAGGGGAGUGAAAUAGAUCCUGAAACCGUAUGCUUACAAGGUGUUAGAGGGCUAUGUUUACAUGCCUGAUAGCGUGCCUUUUGUAGAAUGAGCCGGCGAGUUACUUUAUACAGCAAGGUUAAGCGAUAGUAAUCGCGCAGCCGUAGCGAAAGCGAGUCUUAAAUGGGCGAAUUAGUUGUAUGGAGUAGACCCGAAACCGAGUGAUCUAGUCAUGGCCAGGUUGAAGCGUGGGUAAGACCACGUGGAGGACCGAACCGGUAAAUGUUGAAAAAUUUUCGGAUGAGCUGUGACUAGGGGUGAAAGACUAAACAAACUCGGAAAUAGCUGGUUCUCCUCGAAAUAGCUUUAGGGCUAGCCUCAUAUGUUUUGUUGCGGAGGUAGAGCACUGAUUGGGCUAGGGGGUCAACAAACUUACCAAACCCACUCAAACUUCGAAUGCCGUAACUUUAGAGUAUGGGAGUCAGACUACGGGAGAUAAGUUCCGUGGUCAAAAGGGAAAGAGCCCAGACCAACAGCUAAGGUCCCCAAGUGUAUACUAAGUGAUAAAGGAAGUGAAGUCGCACAGACACCCAGGAGGUUGGCUUAGAAGCAGCAACCCUUCAAAGAGUGCGUAAUAGCUCACUGGUCGAGUGACUUUGCACCGAAAAUAAUUGGGACUAAGUAUACCACCGAAGCUUUGGAUUGUACGUAAGUACAGUGGUAGAGGAGCAUUCUGUACGGGCUGAAGGUCGACCGCGAGGACGGCUGGACUGUACAGAAGAGAGAAUGCCGGCAUGAGUAACGAUAAAAGAAGCGAAAAACUUCUUCGCCGUAAACCUAAGGUUUUCUGGGCAAUGUUAAUCAACUCAGAGUUAGUCGGCCCCUAAGGCGAGGCUUAACAGCGUAGUCGAUGGGAAGCAGGUUCAUAUUCCUGCACCACCUGGUGGAGGUUAUCGUGAUGGAGUGACGCAGAAAGGUAUGGACGCAGAGCGUUGGUUGUCUCUGUUUCUAUUCGUAGGCUUGGGGUCCAGGAAAAUCCAGACCCCUUAUGGCUGAGGAUGUGAGGGAGUGUAGCUUCGGUGAAGCGAAGGUCCAAAUCCUAUACUGCCAGGAAAAACUUCUAAACGCGAAACCGGGUGACCGUACCGCAAACCGACACAGGUAGGUGGGAUGAAAAUUCUAAGGCGCUCGAGAGAACUCUCGUUAAGGAACUCGGCAAAAUCGUCCCGUAACUUCGGGAAAAGGGACGCCUCACUAGUGUGAAACCCCCGCGGGUGGAGCAUGAAGAGGCCGCAGAUAAAUGGCGCAAGCGACUGUUUACCAAAAACACAGGACUCUGCAAACUCGUAAGAGAAAGUAUAGGGUCUGACACCUGCCCGGUGCUGGAAGGUUAAGAGGAAGUGUUAGUUUGUAUUUAUACACGCGAAGCUCUGAAUUGAAGCCCCAGUAAACGGCGGCCGUAACUAUGACGGUCCUAAGGUAGCGAAAUUCCUUGUCGGGUAAGUUCCGACCUGCACGAAUGGUGUAACGACUUGCGCACUGUCUCAACGGGAGACUCGGUGAAAUUGUAUUGUUCGUGAAGAUGCGGACUACCUGCAGAAGGACGGAAAGACCCCGUGCACCUUUACUGUAGCCUGACACUGUUGUUUGGUAUAAUAUGUGUAGGAUAGGUGGGAGACUAUGAAGCUGGGACGCUAGUCUUGGUGGAGUCAUCGUUGAAAUACCACCCUUGUUGUAUUGAACUACUAACCGAUACCCGUUAUCCGGGAUCGGGACACUGUCUGGUGGGCAGUUUGACUGGGGCGGUCGCCUCCUAAAGAGUAACGGAGGCGCCCAAAGGUUCCCUCAGCGCGGACGGAAAUCGCGCGUAGAGUGUAAACGCAAAAGGGAGCUUGACUGCGAGACCAACAAGUCGAGCAGGUACGAAAGUAGGGGUUAGUGAUCCGGUGGUCCCGCAUGGAAGGGCCAUCGCUCAACGGAUAAAAGGUACGCCGGGGAUAACAGGCUGAUAGCGCCCAAGAGUUCAUAUCGACGGCGCUGUUUGGCACCUCGAUGUCGGCUCUUCGCAUCCUGGGGCUGGAGAAGGUCCCAAGGGUUCGGCUGUUCGCCGAUUAAAGCGGAACGCG